rnacentral:rRNA from 1 species
AGAGAGAGACAUGCGUGCAUAUCAAUAAGCGGAGGAAAAGAAACUAACUAGGAUUCCCUCAGUAACGGCGAGUGAAGCGGGAAGAGCUCAAAUUUGAAAUCUUCAAGGUUCUACCUUGACGAAUUGUAGUUUAAAGAAGUGUUUUCUGUUGGAGUUUUGGUAAAAGUUCUUUGGAAUAGGACAUCAUAGAGGGUGAGAAUCCCGUAUUUGACCAUUAUUUCCAGCUUUGUGAUACACUUUCAAAGAGUCGGAUUGUUUGGGAAUGCAGUCCAAAAUGGGUGGUAAAUUUCAUCUAAAGCUAAAUAUUGGCGAGAGACCGAUAGCGAACAAGUACCGUGAGGGAAAGAUGAAAAGAACUUUGAAAAGAGAGUUAAACAGUACGUGAAAUUGUCAAAAGGGAAGCGUUUGACACCAGUGUUGUUUUCUCGAAAAUCAAUUAAAAAAGGCAGGAUUUUGUGUUGUAUUGACUUUAUCAGCUUUCUGCACUCUUUUCUUGUCUUUUUUAAUGCACUUUUCGUUUAACAAGUCAACAUCAAUUUCUUUUGUUGUAAAAGGGUCAUUGGAAGGUGGCUUUCUUUUCGGAGAAAGUGUUUAUAGCCUUUGGCCUCUGCAAUCGGAGAGAUUGAGGUCUGCAGCGUAGAUCCUUCGGGGUUAGAUACAUUUGUGCUAAGUUAUAGCCUUUCAUAGACAACUUGUUGACUAUGAUCAGUCAUGUAGCUUACUCGCUUAUGCUAUUUUACCUACGCUUAGGAUGUUGAUGUGAUACUGCGAGCA